rnacentral:rRNA from 1 species
CCUACGGGUGGCAGCAGUAGGGAAUAUUGCUCAAUGGGGGAAACCCUGAAGCAGCAACGCCGCGUGGAGGAUGAAGGUUUUCGGAUUGUAAACUCCUUUUGUUAGAGAAGAUAAUGACGGUAUCUAACGAAUAAGCACAGGCUAACUCCGUGCCAGCAGCCGCGGUAAAACGUGGGGUGCAAGCGUUACUCGGAAUCACUGGGCGUAAAGAGCGCGUAGGCGGGUUAGGAAGUCAGAUGUGAAAUCCUAUGGCUUAACCAUAGAACUGCAUUUGAAACUGUGAUUCUAGAGUAGGGGAGAGGUAUGUGGAAUUCUCGGUGUAGGGGUAAAAUCCGUAGAGAUCACGAGGAAUACUCAUUGCGAAGGCGACAUGCUAGAACAUAACUGACGCUGAUGCGCGAAAGCGUGGGGAUCAAACAGGAUUAGAUACCCGAGUAGUC